UACGAAGGGGGGCUAGCGUUGCUCGGAAUUACUGGGCGUAAAGGGAGCGUAGGCGGAUAGUUUAGUCAGAGGUGAAAGCCCAGGGCUCAACCUUGGAAUUGCCUUUGAUACUGGCUAUCUUGAGUACGGAAGAGGGUAUGUGGAACUCCGAGUGUAGAGGUGAAAUUCGUAGAUAUUCGGAAGAACACCAGUGGCGAAGGCGACACGCUGGGCCGUACCUGACACUGAUGCGCGACAGCAUGGGGAGCAAACAGG
rnacentral:rRNA from 1 species